rnacentral:rRNA from 1 species
GACGAACGCUGGCGGCGUGCUUAACACAUGCAAGUCGAACGGAAAGGCCCUGCUUGCAGGGUACUCGAGUGGCGAACGGGUGAGUAACACGUGGGUGAUCUGCCCUGCACUUCGGGGUAAGCUUGGGAAACUGGGUCUAAUACCGGAUAGGAACCAUCUUUAGUGUGGUGGUUGGAAAGUUUUUUGGGUGUAGGAUGAGCUCGCGGCCUAUCAGCUUGUUGGUGGGGUAAUGGCCUACUAAGGCGGCGUCGGGUAGCCGGCCUGCGAGGGUGUACGGCCACAUUGUGACUGAGAUACGGCCCAGACACCUACGGGAGGCGGCAGUGGGGAAUAUUGCACAAUGGGCGCAGGCCGGAUGCAGCGACGCGGCGUGGGGGGUGAAGGCCUUCGGGUUGUGAACUCCGUUCGCGAGGGAGGAGGCUUGGUAGUGACGGUACCUGGAGAAGAAGCACCGGCUAACUACGUG